CUCAAAAGCUCUAGUCAAAGUCAUACCCAACGGAGUGAACUGUCUCGCGGGCCUCUGUGCAUAUGGCCUGGGUGGUGGGUGAGUAGCGGCUCUCAGAUGCGAAGGUCGUGGCUGCAUGCUAGUCUGAGCAAUGUAAGGCCCCUGAGCAUAAUCCGGCUGAUACUGAUACUGUGGAAGAGAGAAAGGAGCUCUGACUGUAGGAGGUCUAUAAGCUGAGUGAUGUGCGGGCCUCCGAUGCUGAUAACUAAUAGCGCCAACCUCUCCAGAUCUACUAAAUGGCCCAAUCAGCUUCUUCCCCUUACUGUCAGGGGAAAGAGUAGUAUCUGUCCAUAAUCCUCGAGCAAUGGCCUCCUCAACACUGAA
rnacentral:lncRNA from 1 species